rnacentral:rRNA from 1 species
UACGUAGGGUGCGAGCGUUAAUCGGAAUUACUGGGCGUAAAGCGUGCGCAGGCGGUUCUGAAAGUCAGCUGUGAAAGCCCCCGGGCUUAACCUGGGAAUUGCGGUUGAAACUACAGGGCUAGAAUCUGGCAGAGGGGGGUGGAAUUCCACGUGUAGCAGUGAAAUGCGUAGAGAUGUGGAGGAACACCGAUGGCGAAGGCAGCCCCCCUGGGCUGAGAUUGACGCUCAGGCACGAAAGCGUGGGGAGCAAACAGG